GCUGGGUGUGGUGGCGGGUGCCUGUAAUCCCAGCUACUCGGGAGGCUGAGGCAGGAGAACUGCUUGAACCCAGGAGGCGGAGGUUGCAGUGAGCCAAGAUUGUGCCACUGCACUCCAGCCUGGGUGACAGAGCGAGAUUCUGUCUCAA
rfam:Homo sapiens chromosome 9, GRCh38 reference primary assembly.